GACGUAGGGGGCCAGCGUUGUUCGGAAUUACUGGGUGUAAAGGGUUCGUAGGCGGUGCGGCAAGUCGGGCGUGAAAUCUCUGGGCUUAACCCAGAGGCUGCUUCCGAAACUGCUGUGCUUGAGUGUGGGAGAGGCGCGUGGAAUUGCAGGUGUAGCGGUGAAAUGCGUAGAUAUCUGCAGGAACACCCGUGGCGAAAGCGACGCGCUGGACCACUACUGACGCUGAGGAACGAAAGCUAGGGGAGCAAACAGG
rnacentral:rRNA from 1 species